UAUAUUCAAAGCCAACGAUAUUUACAAUAUAAUCAUCGGAAUAGCUCAAGCGACCGACAACUAUAUCGAUCAAAUAUUUCUCUGCUGUACUUACUAUAUACUUAAUACGACGAUUGUGUAAUUAAUGCAUAAGAAAUAAUAAGGCGAUGGUAGAUGUAUCGUUCAAUGUUUCAAUAUGUCGGAGACGAAAGGACGCCGGGGCCCCUCCUAACCUCCUAACAUUGUAAUCUAGAGUCUACUAUAGCCGUAAUGAAACAAUCGCAGUUAUCCAAGCCGAUGGUAACUGUUCGGGAUUAGCGACGGUGAACUUUGGCUCGGGGCGACAGCCUGCCGCCCAACGUAGCCACGAUCAACGGGACGGGCGCUCCGUCUAACAAAGGUGCGGACCGGUUUCGCAUACCUGCUGCACAAUACGUCUGUCCUUUAAACCGUGUUUCAUACACCAAACAAAUCAACAACUGCUUAGGCUUUACCAGCCUGUUAAUAAGGGGGCCCC